AGAAACAGAAGACUAGACAUCAUCCUGAGAUGCCAAGAUCUGAAGUCAGUGGAAAUAAGAGAGAUGUGGCAAAGAACACAGCAAUCAAACUGCAAAAUGUUAAGAAAGAACCUCAAGACAAACCGAGUCCUUCCUGUGAACCUCUGGCUGUGUCAGAUCAGCAAGAGCAUAAAGCUGUUCACUGCUCUGGCCACAAAGUAGCUGAUUUACAAUCCAUGAGGCCAGAAGGGGGUGCGGACAUGAUGGAGGCCCUGUCACCUAAGCCCUCGGCCAGCUCUGGUUUGAAUACAGUGGAUCUUGAUGAACUAAAGAGGGAAGAAAUAAAAAUGCAACUAACGGUUUUAAAAUUAAAAGAAGAGUAUUACACUUUGAAAAUAAAGGAACUUAAAAAAUGAGCAUUAAUGCUUCUGUGGGGCUGACAUUGCAGACAAUAAAUUAAAAGAUUGCUGAGUUUACAUCCACAAACUGACACACGUUAGUUGGAGGUUUGUUGGCAGGAAUGUUACUUUUGACAAAAGCUACAUAGUCAUAGAAGUGUGCUGCAUUAAUACAUUGUACUUUUUCUUUGCUAUACUCAGUUUCCCUUUAGUAUUGUUGAUUACCACGUUUGACUUUGUUUUUAUAAUUAAACAAAUAUCUGAUAUUUUCUUCUGUAAAAUGUGAAUAAACAAUAUUGGUGCUUUUUAUCUGUAAACCAUGCAAAUGUUGUGAAACAGUGUUUCCUUUGGACUUUGCCCAACCUGUAGUAAUUGUUGUAAGAAGUAGCCUUUUAACAGCAUCGUCCAGGUAAUGUACUUACCUGUUUUGUAUAUGGAUAGAUUAUAAACACUAUGUACGUAAGCAACAUAGUGGGUUGGAGAGUACUUGUAUCUUGCAAUAAAG